rnacentral:rRNA from 1 species
UACAGAGGAGCCAAGCGUUGUCCGGAUUGACUGGGCGUAAAGCGCACGCAGGCGGACGCGCGCGUGGGGUGUGAAAUCUGGCCGCUUAACGGCCAGGCGCCAUCCCAUACGGCGGGUCUGGAGUGAUGCAGAGGGCGGUGGAAUUGCCGGUGUAGUGGUGAAAUGCGUAGAGAUCGGCAGGAACACCCAGGGGGAAACCA